rnacentral:lncRNA from 1 species
GCUUGAGGGGGAGUGUUGAACUGAAGAGAAGAUAGAGCUUGUACAACAAUAUGGCAAGCUCUAGAAGAUGUCUAGAAGAGUUCAAUCAAGCUUCAGAAGUGUUCUGAAGUAGUUAUCUUGUGAAGUUAAGUCUAGGAAAGACUUAGACUGAUCAUGUGAAGGCUUUGGAGGAGUUAAAGAGAAGAUGGAAGUGUGGUGC